rnacentral:tRNA from 1 species
GGAGGGUUGGCCGAGCGGUAAGGCAGCGGCUUGCUAAGCCGUCGUCAGGGUCCUCCCUGCGCGAGUUCGAUUCUCGCACCCUCCGC